GACGUAGGGCGCGAGCGUUGUCCGGAUUUAUUGGGCGUAAAGAGCUCGUAGGCGGUCUGUCGCGUCUGCUGUGAAAACCUAGGGCUUAACUCUGGGCGUGCAGUGGGUACGGGGCAGGCUAGAGUGCGGUAGGGGAGACUGGAAUUCCUGGUGUAGCGGUGAAAUGCGCAGAGUAUCAGGAGGAACACCGGUGGCGAAGGCGGGUCUCUGGGCCGUAACUGACGCUGAGGAGCGAAAGCUGGGGAGCGAACAGG
rnacentral:rRNA from 1 species